GGCACCUUGUUUUAGAGCGGGAAAACAAGAGGGGGAAAAUUCUCCCUCUCUCUGCGCAGCGCCUCCUGCCGCUUCGCUGAAGGGGCGCUGGGCAGAGAGGGGGAGAAUUUUUUUUUCUUGUUCUCCCCCCUCUAAAACAAGGUGCG